rnacentral:rRNA from 1 species
AGAGUUUGAUCCUGGCUCAGGAUGACGAAACUAGCUACAGGCUUAACACAUGCAAGUCGAGGGGAAACGAUAUUGGAAGCUUGCUUCCGAUAGGCGUCGACCGGCGCACGGGUGAGUAACGCGUAUCCAACCUGCCCACCACUUGGGGAUAACCUUGCGAAAGUAAGACUAAUACCCAAUGAUAUCUCUAGAAGACAUCUGAAAGAGAUUAAAGAUUUAUCGGUGAUGGAUGGGGAUGCGUCUGAUUAGCUUGUUGGCGGGGUAACGGCCCACCAAGGCAACGAUCAGUAGGGGUUCUGAGAGGAAGGUCCCCCACAUUGGAACUGAGACACGGUCCAAACUCCUACGGGAGGCAGCA